GUCCGGGUUCCCUGUCGAGGCCCAGCGCCUCUCAGCACGUCACGGGAAUGGAUCUCUCUUCCCUUCUAGAUUGUGCACAUUUUUUGACGUUAACAUUGUCUAUUGAAGGUGUUAAAAUAUGGAUGCUUUAGGAUUCACGCACGGCCUUUUCUCAUGAUGAUCUUAUACUUGAUUGAUUUGUCAAGAUGUGGUAUGGCCGGUUUGUUAAUGAUCAUGAUAAUUGGGAAGAUCAGUGGAUGAGGAAAUGAAUAUAUGAAUGAGAAUUGUGUGUGCAUGCAUUAUAUCAUGCUUGGAUUCACUUCACAUGCAUAUAUGACUAUUAAAAUGGCGAAGAAAUUUCAAACAUAUAUAUUUCACUUUCCUGAGUUUUCUCAGCAUCCAAACAAGCCGGCCUUAUUUUCAUAAUUUCCAAAUCAAGUAGUACUAGUACUGUAGCUUUGUUUAUGAUUUGGUUGAGUCCGGUUCGAACAAAACCGACCCUUCCGGCCCCCGAGGGGCCGAUUAUAUGUUGUAUUCGUACGUGGUUAAUUAAUUUAUCUAGGGUUUGUAAUUUUGCGUGCAUACACCAGGCGGAGAUAACAAGCUGGUAUUUACGAGGAUAAAAUCGUCGGGUGGGGCAUUAGAACAGGCCGCUGAUCAGCCAAGAAGAUCAUGAUCGAUCAGUGCUUUGGAUGGUUGAGAGAGCAAGUGAAGAUUUUGUUUCAAAUAUCAGUCGCAAUAUGUUUUGAUAUGUACAUAUAGAACCCUUAGCCAUAUGGUUAGCUGAUCUUAUGCAUCUGCAUGUAAAUAUAACCACUCAGUCGAUACUAGUACGUACGUACUGAAAAUAAUAUAAUGGCUCCUGUAACGAAUGGUCGCCGCAGGCCGAACCAAUGCUUUGAUUACCAAUUAGGAAGACGCAGCUGAUUACCAAGUUGCAUGAAUCUGAUUUUUCUGGGUAUCUCGGGUGAUUGAAAUUUGGAGUGUUAAUAUUCUUAGUUUCUUUU